GACGAACGCUGGCGGCGUGCUUAACACAUGCAAGUCGAGCGGUAAGGCCCUUUCGGGGGUACACGAGCGGCGAACGGGUGAGUAACACGUGGGUGACCUGCCCUCAGCUCUGGGAUAAGCCCGGGAAACUGGGUCUAAUACCGGAUAUGACUUCAUGACGCAUGUUGUGGAGUGGAAAGCCUUGUGCGGCUGAGGAUGGGCCCGCGGCCUAUCAGCUUGUUGGUGGGGUGAUGGCCUACCAAGGCGACGACGGGUAGCCGGCCUGAGAGGGCGACCGGCCACACUGGGACUGAGACACGGCCCAGACUCCUACGGGAGGGCAGCAGUGGGGAAUCUUGCGCAAUGGGCGAAAGCCUGACGCAGCGACGCCGCGUGAGGGAUGACGGCCUGUGUAAC
rnacentral:rRNA from 1 species